UCCUGUGGAAUUGAAACAUCUCAUUACAAAUGCAAAGUUCUUUUUACUGGAUCCAUACGUACUGCAGUGAAAAAGCUCGAAGAAGAGUAACUUCAGAAGUGGAACUGUUCACCGCUUCUAAGACUUAAGACAUGCAGCUGACACAUUAUAUAAAGAAUUUCUAGCCUAAAUAUCAUAUCCUAUGACUUUUCUAAACAUAGUGAUCUGCAGAGGAAGUUUUACUCACUUCACCAUCUUGAAGUAAGAUGCAUAAAAGCUGACAUUUUAAUCCAGUACCUGCAGCUGUCUCUCAUCCUGUUAAUUUUUUUCUUUAAAUGAACAUCUUAAAGUAAGCAGCUAUGGCUGCCAAACAUUACAGAAGUGUAGCCAAGAAUAAUGUUUUAGAAAUGGAGGAAACUUUUUCAUCUCAAGAUGCUGUCCAAUUCACUCUGUAUACUGUAUAGGAUGCUGAGAGGAGGAGAAGGCAGUCCUGGCCAACACUUCAUGCACAGGCACCAAAAAAGGUCAUCCUUCAGAGGCAGAUUCUUUUCAGUUAUGGAAGAGAUGAAACUGAGAACUCCAAAACCCAC